UGAGAGUGGAUUCAUUGUUUUGGAUGAGUUCAAUGCUAUGAGCAAGGCUCGAAUUGCAUGGGAUAGGGCCAUCUCAAUUUUUCUAUAGAUUGGGAUGUGCCACGUCUUACCUGCCCGGACAUUCAAGAUGAUGGGAUAUCCUUAUACUUUCUUGAGAUGCCCUUUUUAUAUUUUUAUGUUUUUUUAUUUUUUAAAGGUUCACUUAUGUUAUUUAUUUUAAUGUAUAUUAAGACUUAAAAUAAUAUCUUUUAAUAAUUGACCCUAUUUAGUGUACUCUAAGAUUGGAAGAGUGUAAAUCUACUUGUAUUUAUUUUUGUUUUUUCUUUGUUGAUUUUGUUGUUAAAUUUUUGAUAGUAAUCUUCAAUACACUUUGGUAGCAUCAUUGAGGCAUCUAAAUUACAUGUAGAUGUAUCUUAGUUUUCCUCAAUGUUACAUUCAUUAUUUUUUAAAUUUUAAUCAAUUAUUUAAUUAAGAAUUAUAAUUUAAUAUGAUUAUUUAGAUAAUUGCUAAAAUACAUGAUAAGCUAUACAAAUUAACUUUAAUUUGUCUACACAUGUUUCAACUUUCUUUUGCAGUUUUGCAUCUAAUAUAAUUUUCUAUAACUUUUAAAUAAUUGUUUUUAACAACUAAAUUAAAUCACAAGGAAUUCUAAAAACUAAAUUUGCUUAAGGGCUUUGUUAGACACCCCUAAUAGGGUACUAGGCAUGUCACCCCAACAUAAAUGUAGCAUUUUGUUUCGAUAACGUUUACAAUGUUCGUAUUUUGGUACAUGUUUGGGUGCUCUUAAAUGCACUCGAAAGUUAUACAAAACAUGAAAAAGUUAAGCAGUAUGUACAUAAUAAUAAUAAUAAUAAUAAUAAUAAUAAUAAUAAUAAUAAAAAAGAGGUACUAUAUUUUUCCAAAAUUCUUUUUUUUAUUUUAAUAAUUAAUUUAUUUUAAAAUGAUUUUAUAAAAUAGUGAAAUAUAUAUUGGAAAUAAAAAUUAUAGACUUGUAGCUUGAUCUUAACUCUACAACAUAUCAUAAUUUCAUAUAAAACAGAAAAAUUGGUAUCACAAUUUUCGUUUUUCUUAAAUUCGGUCAAAUUAAUGGCAGCAAAAAAGGGCCCAAUCCCCUGAUUACGAGUCUCCCAGUGUCGAGCAACCCAAUCUUGGUCGUC
rnacentral:lncRNA from 1 species